UUCAACAUGGAACGAGUGGCGGACGGGUGAGUAACACGUGGGUAACCUGCCCUUAAGUGGGGGAUAACAUUUGGAAACAGAUGCUAAUACCGCAUAGAUCCAAGAACCGCAUGGUUCUUGGCUGAAAGAUGGCGUAAGCUAUCGCUUUUGGAUGGACCCGCGGCGUAUUAGCUAGUUGGUGAGGUAAUGGCUCACCAAGGCGAUGAUACGUAGCCGAACUGAGAGGUUGAUCGGCCACAUUGGGACUGAGACACGGCCCAAACUCCUACGGGAGGCAGCAGUAGGGAAUCUUCCACAAUGGACGCAAGUCUGAUGGAGCAACGCCGCGUGAGUGAAGAAGGCUUUCGGGUCGUAAAACUCUGUUGUUGGAGAAGAAUGGUCGGCAGAGUAACUGUUGUCGGCGUGACGGUAUCCAACCAGAAAGCCACGGCUAACUACGUGCCAGCAGCCGCGGUAAUACGUAGGUGGCAAGCGUUAUCCGGAUUUAUUGGGCGUAAAGCGAGCGCAGGCGGUUUUUUAAGUCUGAUGUGAAAGCCCUCGGCUUAACCGAGGAAGCGCAUCGGAAACUGGGAAACUUGAGUGCAGAAGAGGACAGUGGAACUCCAUGUGUAGCGGUGAAAUGCGUAGAUAUAUGGAAGAACACCAGUGGCGAAGGCGGCUGUCUGGUCUGUAACUGACGCUGAG
rnacentral:rRNA from 1 species